rnacentral:rRNA from 1 species
UAGGGAAUCUUCGGCAAUGGACGAAAGUCUGACCGAGCAACGCCGCGUGAGUGAAGAAGGUUUUCGGAUCGUAAAACUCUGUUGUUAGAGAAGAACAAGGACGUUAGUAACUGAACGUCCCCUGACGGUAUCUAACCAGAAAGCCACGGCUAACUACGUGCCAGCAGCCGCGGUAAUACGUAGGUGGCAAGCGUUGUCCGGAUGUAUUGGGCGUAAAGCGAGCGCGGGCGGUUUCUUAAGUCUGAUGUGAAAGCCCCCGGCUCAACCGGGGAGGGUGAUUGGGAACUGGGAGACUUGAGUGCAGAAGAGGAGAGUGGAAUUCCAUGAGUAGCGGUGAAAUGCGUAGAUAUAUGGAGGAACACCAGUGGCGAAGGCGGCUCUCUGGUAUGUAACUGACGCUGAGGCUCGAAAGCGUGGGGAGCAAACAGG